rnacentral:rRNA from 1 species
GAACGCUAGCUACAGGCUUAACACAUGCAAGUCGAGGGGCAGCAUGAGGUUUGCUUGCAAAUCUUGAUGGCGACCGGCGCACGGGUGAGUAACGCGUAUCCAACCUGCCCAUGACUUGGGGGAUAACCUUGCGAAAGCAAGCCUAAUACCCGAUACGCUUCAUAGAUGGCAUCUGAAAUGAAGUAAAGGUUUACGGUUAUGGAUGGGGAUGCGUCCGAUUAGCUUGUUGGCGGGGUAACGGCCCACCAAGGCAUCGAUCGGUAGGGGUUCUGAGAGGAAGGUCCCCCCACAUUGGAACUGAGACACGGUCCAAACUCCUACGGGAGGCAGCAGUGAGGAAUAUUGGUCAAUGGAGGCAACUCUGAACCAGCCAAGUAGCGUGCAGGAUGACGGCCCUAUGGGUUGUAAACUGCUUUUAUGCGGGGAUAAACUGACUCACGUGUGGGUCAUUGCAGGUACCGCAUGAAUAAGGACCGGCUAAUUCCGUG